rnacentral:SRP_RNA from 1 species
GCCAUGUGCGGUGGCACAUGCCUGUAGUCCCAGCUACUCGGGAGGCUGAGGUGGGAGUACUGCUUGAGCCCAGGAGUUCUGGCCUGUAGUGUGCUAUGCCAAUCGGGUGUCCACACUAAGUUCAGCAUCAACAUGGUGACCUCUAGGGAGAGGGGAGCCACCAGGUUGCCUAAGGAGGGGUGAACCGGCCCAGGGUGGAAACAGAGCAGGUCAAAACUCCUGUGCUGAUCAGUAGUGGGAUCGCACCUGUGAACAGCCACUGCACUCCAGCCUGGGCAACAUAGUGAGACCGCGUCUCU